rnacentral:rRNA from 1 species
GACGAACGCUGGCGGCGUGCAUAACACAUGCAAGUCAAGGGGGUCAGUAGCAAUGCUGGCAACCGGCGAACGGGUGCGUAACACGUAAGCGACCUACCUCAAUGUGGGGCAUAGCCGGCCUAACGGCCGGGUAAUUCCGCAUGUGAUCUUGGAGGGGCAUCUCUCCGGGAUGAAACCAGUAAUGGGCAUUGAGAGGGGCUUGCGGCCUAUCAGCUUGNGGUGAGGUAACGGCUCACCAAGGCUACGACGGGUAGCUGGUCUGAGAGGACGACCAGUCACACUGGAACUGAGACACGGUCCAGACACCUACGGGUGGCAGCAGUCGAGAAUUUUUGACAAUAGGGGGAAACCCUAGAUCGAGCGACGCCGCGUGGAGGAUGAAGGUCGUUCGGGUUGUAAACCCCUGUCAUUUGUAGAACAAGGUGCACCGGUUAACGUGCCGGCGCAUUGAUAGUAUCAGAAGAGGAAGAGC